AGUAACGCGUGAGGAACCUGCCUCAAAGAGGGGGACAACAGUUGGAAACGACUGCUAAUACCGCAUAAGCCCACGGCUCGGCAUCGAGCAGAGGGAAAAGGAGCAAUCCGCUUUUGAGAUGGCCUCGCGUCCGAUUAGCUAGUUGGUGAGGUAAUGGCCCACCAAGGCGACGAUCGGUAGCCGGACUGAGAGGUUGAACGGCCACAUUGGGACUGAGACACGGCCCAG
rnacentral:rRNA from 1 species